CUCACAAAUUCGUCAGCCACUCUUCUCUCUAUCACUCUCUCUCUUCCCCCUCACCAUUUCUGUGAAAGGCUAGAAGAACCACCCUACACCACCAUCUAAAACCAUCAUCAAACCCUCCAACCCCUUCCUUAUAACCCCCUUAACCACCACCAUCUUCCUCGGCCUUCAUUUUGGCCGGAAACACAAGAAGCAACCGGCAGCAGAAGGCUGCCGGCCACACCCCCCUCCACUGCACCACCCCACUACCACCUUCAAAAACCCACUGCCAUCACCUAAAAAUUUCACCCCUAAGUUGAUUUCGAUCCCCAAAAGCUUCUAAAUACUCCCUGCAUCGAAGUACAACUGGAAGGAGGAAGAAACGAAGGCAGCAACAUCUAAACCACCACCUCCGUCGGCCUCCGGUUGCAGUCUCAAAACCACCGGUCACCACCCUUAUGCUGCUGCUGCUCCGCCCCUGCGUAAACAGUUAUAUUUAGUUGUUUUAGUGAUCCGAUAGUUCAUCAUCAGACGUAUCAGAGUAUCUUUCAUGAUCAUUCGAUUUAACCGGUGAUGCAAAUGACAGUGGUUCAUCAUUUUCAUCGUCUUCAGCAUCAGUAGGUUGAAUCUCAGCAUGUUUCCUUUUCAGCUUCAUACCAGCUGAAUCCAUAGGCUCAAUGUUGAUUGCCCCAUUUAGUUUCAAAGCAUGGUUUGCAUUCCCGUUAUCAUCUGAAUUGAAUGUGAAAUUAUUACCAUCAACUGCAGACACAUGUAAGGUAAACAUGGUCACUAUAUAUAAAUACACACAUAUAUAUACCAAAUAAAAUCUGUAAAAGUGGUAAUCAUAAUACACUUACAACUAGCCAUUGAAUGUCUUUACUAGUUAAUUCUUUCUUUUUUUCGUAAAAUUUUCAGAAACCGAGACAAUAGCCAUGGUGUCAUCAUUGUUGUUGUCGUUGGAGGAUUUAUUUGCAUCUAUGUUUAAUGUUUGACCGCAUCACUGAAAACAAAUCACAAAGUCAUAAACAAAAUGAUAAACUAUUUAAUCAAAAGAAAUAUAAAAAGUACUCUCACUUACAUUAAUUGAUUGUGUUUCAGUUUUUUCAGAUUCUCCCACAGUCAAAAGCAAAGUGAUGAGGUUUCCACAUACUUCACACACGAAAUCAUGAUUCAAAUUCUUCACAGAAAGAUCAUGUCCUAGCUUGGGUUUCCACCGUCAAACCAACUUAAGUAUGAGUUGAUUCGACAGUGCAAACCCAAGUUAGGAUAUGAUCUUUCCGUGAAAAAUUUUAAUCUUGAUUUUGUGUGUGAAGUAUGGGAAAACUUCAUCAUUUUGCUUGUGACUUGGGAAGAAUCUGAAAAAGAUUAAACACAAUCAAUUAAUGUAAGUAAGAGUGUUUUUUAUUUCUUUUGAUUAAAUAGUUUAUCAUUUUGUUUAUGACUUUGUGAUUUGUUUUCAGUGAUGCGGUCAAACAUUAAAAAUAGAUGCAAACAGAUCCUCCAACGAUGAUGACACCAUGUCUAUUGUCUUAGUUUCUGGAAAUUUUACGAUAAAAAAGAAAGAGUUAACCAACAAAGACACUUAGUGGCUAGCUGUAACUGUAUUAUGAUUACCACUUGUGCAAAUUUUAUUUGGUAUAUAUAUAUAUAUACAUAUAUAUAUAUAUAUAUAUAUAUAUAUAUAUAUAUAUAUAUAUAUAUAUAUAUAUAUAUAGUGCCCAUGUUUACUUUGCAUGUGUCUGCAGUUGAUGGUAAUAGUUUCACAUUCAAUUCUGAUAAUAACCAGAAUAGAAACCGUGCUUUGAAACUAAGGGGGGCGAUCAACAUCGAGCCUAUGGAUUCAACUGAUAUAAAGUUGAAAAACAAACAUGCUGAUAUCUAGUCUUCAGAUGCUGAAGAUGAUGAGCCAUUGCCAUUAGCAUCAUCGGUUAAAUCGAAUGAUCAUGAUAGGUACUCUGACAAGUCUAAUGAUAAGGUGUCGGAUGACUAUACAAUUAAAUAUAAUCAGAACGAGGCAGAUAACUACAAGAUUGGAGAGGAAGAAUAUGACCUUAAUAACGAGCAUAUAUGCAUAAGAUCCUUUGGGUUAUCAAACCUUUAAAUCAAAUGUUAAGUAUAAAGGAGGCCGCAGCAGCAAGGGUCUCAAGAAAAAAAGAAAGCAAUUGACAUAGAGGAGGAGGCAAUUGGUGUGUAGAUAAUUGGAAGCAUGCAACUGGUGUUUAGAUUGUCUAUAUAGUAUGUUUAUAGUACUUUUAUAAUAUGUAGUGCACAGAUUAUGUUAGAUUGUCUAUAUAGUAUGUUUAUAGUACUUUUAUAAUAUGUAGUGCACAUAUUAUGUCACAUGAAGUCAUGUCUAGAUAUUCAGGGUAUCUAGAUUGUCUAUAUAGUUUGUUUGGCCAGGUACUCUUAUACUAAGGUCAUAUAUUUUAAGUCACUAGAAAUUGUGUGUUUAUCAUAUAUAUAUUACAGUGUUACACAUGCAUAAACAAUUCCAAGUAAAUACUAAUUCUACCUUUUGACAGUU